GAACGGGUGAGUAACACGUGGGCAAUCUGCCCUUCACUCUGGGACAAGCCCUGGAAACGGGGUCUAAUACCGGAUAUCACUUCCACUCGCAUGGGUGGGGGUUGAAAGCUCCGGCGGUGAAGGAUGAGCCCGCGGCCUAUCAGCUUGUUGGUGAGGUAAUGGCUCACCAAGGCGACGACGGGUAGCCGGCCUGAGAGGGCGACCGGCCACACUGGGACUGAGACACGGCCCAGACUCCUACGGGAGGCAGCAGUGGGGAAUAUUGCACAAUGGGCGAAAGCCUGAUGCAGCGACGCCGCGUGAGGGAUGACGGCCUUCGGGUUGUAAACCUCUUUCAGCAGGGAAGAAGCGAAAGUGACGGUACCUGCAGAAGAAGCGCCGGCUAACUACGUGCCAGCAGCCGCGGUAAUACGUAGGGCGCAAGCGUUGUCCGGAAUUAUUGGGCGUAAAGAGCUCGUAGGCGGUCUGUCGCGUCGGAUGUGAAAGCCCGGGGCUUAACCCCGGGUCUGCAUUCGAUACGGGCAGACUAGAGUGUGGUAGGGGAGAUCGGAAUUCCUGGUGUAGCGGUGAAAUGCGCANAUAUCAGGAGGAACACCGGUGGCGAAGGCGGAUCUCUGGGCCAUUACUGACGCUGAGGAGCGAAA
rnacentral:rRNA from 1 species